rnacentral:rRNA from 1 species
GCGGGAACACCGGCGGCCCGAGUGGUGAUCGUGAUUAUUGGGUCUAAAGGGUCCGUAGCCGGUUUGGUCAGUCCUCCGGGAAAUCUGAUAGCUCAACUAUUAGGCUUUCGGGGGAUACUGCCAGACUUGGAACCGGGAGAGGUAAGAGGUACUACAGGGGUAGGAGUGAAAUCUUGUAAUCCCUGUGGGACCACCUGUGGCGAAGGCGUCUUACCAGAACGGGUUCGACGGUGAGGGACGAAAGCUGGGGGCACGAACCGGAUUAGAUACCCGGGUAGUCCCAGCCGUAAACGAUGCUCGCUAGGUGUCAGGCAUGGCGCGACCGUGUCUGGUGCCGCAGGGAAGCCGUGAAGCGAGCCACCUGGGAAGUACGGCCGCAAGGCUGAAACUUAAAGGAAUUGGCGGGGAGCACAACAAACGGGUGGAGCCUGCGGUUUAAUUGGACUCAACGCCGGACAACUCACCGGGGGCGACGGCAAUAUGUAGGCCAAGCUGAAGACUUUGCCUGAAUCGCUGAGGGGAGGUGCAUGG